GAUGGGCCCGCGGCCUAUCAGCUAGUUGGUGAGGUAACGGCCCACCAAGGCGACGACGGGUAGCUGGCGUGAGAGCGUGGCCAGCCACACUGGGACUGAGACACGGCCCAGACUCCUACGGGAGGCAGCAGUGGGGAAUCUUGCGCAAUGGGCGAAAGCCUGACGCAGCGACGCCGCGUGGGGGAUGAAGGCCCUCGGGUUGUAAACCCCUUUCGGCAGGGACGAAGCGAAAGUGACGGUACCUGCAGAAGAAGCCCCGGCUAACUACGUGCCAGCAGCCGCGGUAAGACGUAGGGGGCGAGCGUUGUCCGGAUUUAUUGGGCGUAAAGCGCGCGUAGGCGGCCGCGUUAGUCGGAUGUGAAAUCUCCGGGCUCAACCCGGAAACUGCAUCGCGAACUGGCCUGGCUGGAGUGCAGGAGAGGGAUGUGGAAUCCCCGGUGUAGCGGUGAAAUGCGUAGAUAUCGGGAGG
rnacentral:rRNA from 1 species